rnacentral:lncRNA from 10 species
AGAGGCUCGGCUCGCGCGGCGCGGCCGCUGCGACUUCCUGGAGUUCUGCCUGCCGGGGGCGCGGGCGGGCUUUGUCAGGAUCGCGGUGCGGCGACCGACGUUGGGCUCUUGCAUUGCUUUGUGCUUGGCAAUGGAAUCAUGGUUUCGGGGUCUAAACUUUUGUUUCGUUUUGUAGUCUUAAUGUAUCUGAUUCUUUUUCAAGUUUCCCUAGUAACAGGUUUGGGGACGGGGUGGGAAGAAGCGAGAAAAGGGGUGAAGAGAAAAAACCAGAUUAUAUAGAAAGGAAAAAGGGAAAAGGGAUGUUUCCCCACCUUUUAAUCUAACUAUCUAUCUGUCUGUCUAUCUAUCAUCAUAGAUAGUCAUUUUGCCUCCUGGACAGUUGGCUGACGAAGUGUCUGAUAAACCAGCUUCAGAUACAUGCUACAAAAGGCUACUGAGCUGGCCUGAUGAUGAUCCUUCUGAGAUAUAUUUAUAGCAGAUGAUUUGUGGAUGAUAACUACGCCAAGCAAGACACUGUCUCCAGUAACCCCAGGCUCGUCUGACUUCCUCAGGGGAUUAUAAUAAAGAAUCACAAAAAGAACCCUAUAUGGACAGUCUGGUCUCUGGACACUAACAACAGCACAAUCCAAAGGCAAAGAAAGGAGGAACCACCUUGUUUCAUGUCUGCAAGCUGCUCCAUAUGAAAGCAUUGCUGACAUGUUGACCCAACAGCAAAAAGAGAGCAGCAGUUUACACACCCUCAGCUCUCUGUCCUUUCCUUUCUAUUGAUGUUGGUCCACUUUUAUGACUGAAUACAUAUUAAAAUCACCAUUUCAAAUUAUAAUUAUCUGCUUUCAUUGGUCUCUUUCACAAGUCUAUGUCUAUAUUUAUGUUUACAUAUAUAAACACAUAUACACAUAUUUUAUACAUACAUAUGUAUAUGUAUGCACGCAUUAUUUGUAAGUACACAUACACGUGUGUGUAUAUAUAUGUAUAUGAUAUGUAUAUGUGUAUUUCAGUUGAUACACAUAUAUUUGCUUGGGAAGUUUCACUACAUUGCUUUGUAUUUCUCUUUUAUAAGGUAAUGCAUUUAAUUCCAAAACUACCACAUUAAUUGUAUAAAUUGAUUAUUACAUAAGUUUCCUUGAUGAUUUACAGAAGAACUAUUGAGAGGUCAGUGUUAGCACAUCAAAAUAUAGUCUGGUAUGGCAUUUUAAAUUGACCCAGGUAUCUAAUAUUAAAGCCUUUCAAAUUUAUCUCUCCUGCUAUUAUUUUAUUAAGAUUACUUUGGAAUGAUGAGGUUAUAAGUGUGAUUUAUUUCUGUUUCAUCUUUUUGUCUGUAUGUGCUAAGUUUAGUCCCUCCACUUUGAGAAUAACCCUAUAAUCCAGGAUCAUUGCUUAAAAUUCAGUAUCAUUUGCAGAAUUCUCAUACUCAAAUAAGAAUGUUUCUAGAAUAUGUUUACUCAAUUUUAGAAAGUAUUUUCUCUUUCCUUCUUUCUGUCAUAGUUUUUCUGAUAUUACUGUAUUACCACAUUCUAAACUCUGUGACUUGUUAUUUUCAGUAAGGCUUUAAGAAGCAUGGAUAGGUUUGUAGGUUAUUUCUUGUUAAAUAUGCCUUAAUUUUUUAGUAUUUAGUAUUAGUAUUUAGUUUUUAGUAUUUAGUAUUUAGUAUCUCCCAUAUAUAUAUAUGCACACAUAUAUAUAUACACAUAUAUAUGUACACACAUACAUAUAUACACACACAUAUAUAUACACACACAUACACAAAGCUUUGGAAUGUUAAUUAAAUGAUCAAAAUAUUACAAGAUUACAUUGUUAUGAGAACUUAUCCUUAAUAUUAGCAUAUUUACUAUAAAGUUAAACAACUUCUUCUCCUCUGUCUCCUGUUUAUUAUCAUUAUUUUAUUAUUAUUAAAAAAGGAAGUCUCUCAGAAACCAAGCUGUAUAUCCUCUAGUCUCUAUGUAAAAAAACAAAUUGGUCAUUUUCUACUUGGACAUCCCAGAAUAGAAAGUACAUUGAAGUACUAAAAAAUAAAGGGAUAGACUUGGGGUUAAGGGAGAUGUCAUAGAACAGCUAUCCUGGGUUAGUUCAAGUGUAGUCCUAUUCCAUGCUAGGCAAAGUCAAGGUUACAAAAAUCCCAGUUGCAUCAGGUUUCCAUUUUUUAUCAUUAUUUCCCUAUACAACGAUACAAGUUAAAAAAAAGUCGGUAAAUACUUUUGGCCAUCAAUUUUCAAGAUUUCAUUGGUGAUAUUAAGGAAAUGCUGUAAGUAGGUAACACAUAAUGUCAUAUUUGUGUGCUGUAGAAGUAUCUUGGAAAAUAUGGACUUUAAAACCUCAAAAUAUGGGUUUGCAAUCGAACAUACAUUCACCCCCAAAUUUGACCUUUUUCAGCUAGUUAUUUUCUCAUAUAAAGUUACUAUACUUACACCAUUAUCUUUAAUCCCUGAAAUUUCAAUUAUACUAGAAAUCAAGAUUCUUCAUUUUUACUCACGAAACUGACACUAAGUAUAUACCUCAUUAA